CCUGACACUCACACCCACACACUGAAACGGCAGCUUUUUUGAUUCGAAACACCUCACAAAAUGCGUAACAGAUUCUCCUUCGGAUUUCCGAUCAGCUAAGCCGAUUACUUAGCUUCGCGAUGGGGGACCCAUAUACCAGACAGACCUCUGGAUGUGCCACAUUGUAAAUAAGACUUCUGAGGCAUCAAAACCACUUUCGGUUCCUCUCGUGGGAAAAUUGGAUGACAUGGAGGUUGUAGAUUUCCGGUUAUCAGUUUUGUGGCUUAAAGAUCAGAAAAAAGGUCGUACCAGCCCUAAAAUACAGCCUAGAUCAAGGAAAAUAACAAAUAUACAAAAAGAACGACCUCAGCUGGUAGUAGGAGAUGUAACGGACCUCGGAGGUCUCGCGGACCGCAUCUGAACUUGGCACUAAUUCUCUGAAGGAGCUGAUGAGGACUAUGCCCAAAAUCUUGCAUUGUGCAUAAAGGAUAUGCACCAGGUUGAGGAAUAGCAGAGGGAGA